rnacentral:lncRNA from 1 species
UCGGGUUCACAGGGUACCCGGUGCCUAAGGGCGGAGUUGAUUGCAUCAAUCGAAGUUUUUUUAAGAAGAACAAGUCGCUCGUUAACUCCCAGUACAGCAACAGCCGACAGGUAAGCGAGCGCGUGCAGCUGGAGCAGGGCAGCUUCGUGCUGCUGCCCACCACCUUCGAGGCGGGCGAGGAGGCCGCCUUCACAUUACGCGUCUACUCUUCUAAACCUAUUAAACUCAAGUUAGUAGACACGACACCAAGCCUGGUGAAGCCUGCGGUGACACAGUCCCGCAGUGCGCUGGAGAGCAAAAGUAUCCUACAGUACCAGGCAGUGUUCCUGCAGGUCGCUGAUGAACACAGAACAGUGAACGCCUUCCAGCUCCAUGAACUGCUGGAGGCCUGCUUACCUAAUGGUGAGUCU